rnacentral:sRNA from 1 species
AAUAUCACCAGCAGAUGAUAUUUCUUGCAGUAAUCACAAGAGCUUCUGUACCCAGUAGAGAAGAUCUUCUGACUAAUCACAAGAAC